rnacentral:rRNA from 1 species
CCUACGGGGUGCAGCAGUGAGGAAUAUUGGUCAAUGGACGAGAGUCUGAACCAGUCAAGUAGCGUGAAGGAUGACUGCCCUAUGGGUUGUAAACUUCUUUUAUAUGGGAAUAAAAUGUUCCACGUGUGGGAUUUUGUAUGUACCAUAUGAAUAAGGAUCGGCUAACUCCGUGCCAGCAGCCGCGGUAAUACGGAGGAUCCGAGCGUUAUCCGGAUUUAUUGGGUUUAAAGGGAGCGUAGGUGGAUUGUUAAGUCAGUUGUGAAAGUUUGCGGCUCAACCGUAAAAUUGCAGUUGAAACUGGCAGUCUUGAGUACAGUAGAGGUGGGCGGAAUUCGUGGUGUAGCGGUGAAAUGCUUAGAUAUCACGAAGAACUCCGAUUGCGAAGGCAGUUCACUGGACUGCAACUGACACUGAGGCUCGAAAGUGUGGGUAUCAAACAGGAUUAGAUACCCCUGUAGUC